rnacentral:rRNA from 1 species
AUUGAACGCUGGCGGCAGGCCUAACACAUGCAAGUCGAACGAGUGGCGGACGGGUGAGUAAUGUCUGGGAAACUGCCUGCUGGAGGGGGAUAACUACUGGAAACGGUAGCUACUACCGCAUCCAUCCGUUUUGCCCAGAUGGGAUUAGCUAGUCGGUGGGGUAAAGGCUCACCUAGGCGACGCUCCAUAGCUGGUCUGAGAGGAUGACCAGACACACUGGAACUGAGACACGGUCCAGACUCCUACGGGAGGCAGCAGUGGGGAAUAUUGCACAAUGGGCGCAAGCCUGAUGCAGCCAUGCAGCGUGUAUGAAGAAGGCCUUAGGGUUGUAAAGUACUUUCAGCGGGGAGGCGUUACCCGCAGAAGAAGCACCGGCUAACUCCGUGCCAGCAGCCGCGGUAAUUC